rnacentral:lncRNA from 1 species
UGCACAUUGAGAAAAAUGUAUGGGAAAGCAUUAUUAGUGCAUUGUUAAACGUAAAUGAUAAAACAAAAGAUGUAUUAAAUGCUCAUAAGGAUUUACAAGACAUGCGAAUUAGGAAGGAGUUACAUCCAGAUGACCGAGGUAAUAUAAUAUACCUUCCUCUUGCUCUACAUACAUUAUCAAGGUUGGAGAAACAAACAUUUUGUAAGAGGUUGUUUAACAUGAAGUUACAUGAUGGGUAUAGUUCAAAUGUAGCCAAUUGUAUAUCAGUAGAUGAAUGCAAAAUUAUUGGCCUCAAGUCACAUGAUUGCCAUGUCCUGAUGCAACAACUUUUGGUUGUAGCAUUAAAAGGAUUACUUCCAAAAGGACCAAGACAUGCAAUUUUUAGACCAUGUGCAUUCUUCAAUAGAUUAUGCCAACAUGUUGUUGAUAGGGAAAAAAUAGCAAUACUAGAAGAUGAAGUAGUUGAAACUUUAUGCAGUCUUGAAAGAUUCUUUCCUCCUGUAUUCUUUGAUAUAAAGAGAAGUACGAUUAUGUGGUCCAAUUCAUUAUCGUUGGAUGUAUCCUUUUGAGAGGUGAGAAAUUCACAAUUACUUGGAUAAAUUUACACACAUAAUUUCAUUCUUAUUACUAAUUUGUUUACUUUGUUUAAUUAUAGACAUAUGAAGAUAUUCAAAGGAUGUGUGAAAAAUCACGUACAACCUGAAGGUUGCAUAGUUGAAUGUUAUCUUGCAGAUGUGUGCAUGAAAUUUUGUAUCGAGUUUAUGAAACAAGUAAGAUAAAUUGAUCAUCGAAAGGGGUGCAAUCAAGAUUAUGUUAGUAAUGAAAUUACUGAGAGACGUCCCACACCUGCCCCAAAUUUUAUUACAUUAAGUAAUGAAAUGUUAGAGAUAGCA